UAAGGUGUUUAUAGCAGCAGGGUUCCACCUCUUUCCAUUCCGAACAGUGAAGUUAAGCCUGUCAGUGCCGAUGGUACUCAGACUUUCCCAAACUUGUUCGCACUUUCU
rnacentral:rRNA from 1 species